rnacentral:rRNA from 1 species
GACGAACGCUGGCGGCGUGCUUAACACAUGCAAGUCGAACGGAAAGGCCCUGCUUUUGUGGGGUGCUCGAGUGGCGAACGGGUGAGUAACACGUGAGUAACCUGACCUUGGCUUUGGGAUAACUUCAGGAAACUGGGGCUAAUACCGGAUAGGAGCUCCUGCUGCAGGGUGGGGGUUGGAAUGUUUCGGCGGUUGGGGAUGGACUCGCGGCUUAUCAGCCUGUUGGUGGGGUAGUGGCUGACCAAGGCUUUGACGGGUAGCCGGCCUGAGAGGGUGACCGGCCACAUUGGGACUGAGAUACGGCCCAGACUCCUACGGGAGGCAGCAGUGGGGAAUAUUGCACAGUGGGCGGAAGCCUGAUGCAGCAACGCCGCGUGCGGGAUGACGGCCUUCGGGUUGUAAACCGCUUUCGCCUGUGACGAAGCGUGAGUGACGGUAAUGGGUAAAGAAGCACCGGCUAACUACGUG